UACGUAGGGUGCGAGCGUUAAUCGGAAUUACUGGGCGUAAAGCGUGCGCAGGCGGUUUUGUAAGUCAGAUGUGAAAUCCCCGAGCUCAACUUGGGAACUGCGUUUGAAACUACAAGACUAGAAUAUGUCAGAGGGGGGUAGAAUUCCACGUGUAGCAGUGAAAUGCGUAGAUAUCAGGAGGAACACCGGUGGCGAAGGCGGCUACCUGGACAGAGUCUGACGCUGAGGCACGAAAGCUAGGGGAGCAAACAGG
rnacentral:rRNA from 1 species